GUGGCCGGGGUGAGAGCCGGUACCUAACUGCCGCGGGGCGGGGUGAGCUCCAGGUGUGAGAGCAGAGGCCGGCGGGCGGGCGUGCAGGCUUUCCCGCCGGCCGGCGCGUGUGCGAACCUGAAAGGAGCUCCGCCACCCCCGCCCACCUCGGCGCCUGCUUCCCGGGGGCUAGCCUCCUCCGGGGGCUUUUAAUGCCCAGAGAAGCGGAGGAGUCAGCAGUUGAGCGAGGACUGACUUCUCAGGCGGGUCCGGGCUGCUUGCACGGGUGUAGCGUGCGGUGCCCGAGUGGAGAGCGAGAGAGAGAAGGCAGAGGCACGUGCGUGGGACCCCACCCCCGAAGUCCGUACUGGAUCAGGCACCCCAUCAAGAUUAAAGGCGAGGGCCUGGAGAGGUAGAUCUAGCCCAGGUAGUCUCUCCAACCUGACCCUUGGACCCAAGGGCGUGCUGGCCACGGAAGCACAGACCGUCUCCUCCCGGCCGGCCCUGCCACUGGCGUCUGCGUCGCCCCCUUUCUCCUAGAGACCCGGUGGGUGUCUGCCCCAGGGGGGCGAUCUUUAUUCACGUGGCCGCACUAGGCAGUUAAAAUAGAGGAGAUGGGGUAGGGGGUGGGGAGAAGACAUUUGAUCCCGGCCAACCUUUUGUCUUGAAGCAGAUUAGGCAGCAUAGGAAUAGGAGGCAAAAACAGAAAGUCUAGACAGGAAAACUUACUGUGUUCACCAAAUAGAAAAAUGAACCAAGCGUUCUGGUACCUCAAGGGGUGAAGAUAGAUCCUGGUAGACGAGUGGGAAGACAAGACUGGGGAGAUUUAAAGUGAAAGGAACGGCAGAUUAUUAAGAAAGUAAUAGUAUGGUGUCCCAUGUACUACAGUUUUAUUGUUGGGUAGUAACUACCCGAUUUAUUUAUUGCCAGGGCUAUAUAAUAGAGAUAAUGACCACAAACUCAAGAUAGAUUUUUAGGCGCCCGGCCGGACGAUUCUUUUUUAUUUAAGACGGCGACUCUGAAAGGUGAGCCUCAUCUCCUCCCCUCCUCGAAGAUCCGUCUUGCUUUCUACCAUAUUAUAAGCAUGACAUGCAAAUAAAUAAGUGCUGCGGGGUUCGUGUGGGUAGGCCUGCAGGAUUUAUUUCGGGAGAGAGAGGAACAUAGACGGAAUAUGAAUUUCCACAGGAGCUGCGGAGUGAUUCCUUUGCUCUCCCUCUCGGCCGCCCUCUCCUCCUGGUCUCCCUCCCUUUCUGUGGGAGCAGAGAGGGUCCCCGGAUAAAAACAUUAAUGUGUCAUGUCUCAGCUCCCUGUGCCUUGACGUAUAGGUCUGGGGAAGGAGUGGGGGCGAUGAAAAAUGCAAAAUGCGUCCCCAAAGUAGGCUGACUUGCUGGGACUGCUUAAAGAGAUUCCUGCCGACAAAGGGGAUGGUGAGCUGUAAUUAUGACUUCCAGUAGGGGAGCAGUAUAGGAAGUAUGUUAAUAUCAUUUUGAAAUUUGCUAAGUGGUGCAAAAAGUUUCUGUCCCAGAACUGGUGUGGGCCCUCACCCUCCGAACAGAUCCCAAGGGGAAAUUCCUGGCUCUUGGGACCUGCCUGCCUUUCUUGACCCUCAAUGUCUUUCCCCCGAGCCCCACAAACAAUCCUAUAGUCAGGUGAUGGAAUUACAGAUGACCUUGCUGUUGACCGCCAAGGUCAGAAAGGAGCGGGCGACCUCAGGUGUUGGCACCAUCUGACGCAAUGGAUGUAAUAAUAGUCACCCGGCUGGCCCUUAACGAGGCGGCCACCGAGAGCUUCUCUCCUUCCACCUGCGCUCUGCGAGACUCAGGCAGACCCGGAGCUUGGCAAGGUGAAGUCAACUCCCCUCCCGACACUCUCUUCCUCAUUUUGGGGUAUAUUCAGACAUAUAAUGUUUCAGUCUCACAAUAGGCACUUACAUUCAGAACUUCUUUUGAUCUUUGUUUAGCCAGAAAGAAGAAAAGAAAACACCUGACAGUGAACCGCAAUAAAAAAAAAAAAAAAAGAGGCGCAAAGGAAACGCGAGGGGCGGUCCAGCUGGGUGAGCCAGAAAGGUGGAGGUCAUUAUGUGUAAUUAAUGCUGAAAAGAAAAUGAGCAUGGAAUGGCUUCCAAAGAUAGAAACAUCUGUAACUAUCAAGUGAAGUUUUAAAAAGUUAAUUUUGAAAAAAUCAUUCAGCCUGAUUCCUCUAAUAAUAUCAGGUAGGAACAUAUAUACGUAGUGUCCUUUUAAAAUUCUACAUUGAACUUAAAAACUUAAAUAAUUUUAGAUUUUAACUGAAAUUUUGGUGCCUGGACACUAAGAACUAAUGCCCAGGAAGGAAGGCUAAGGGCUUGAGCUUCUCCAGUUUUGCAACAGAGAAAUGCACUUGUCCGUCCUUAGAUGAAAAUGAAGAGGAUACUUUAAAAAUUCUUGUAAAUCUACUAAGAUUCAAACAAACAUUUCUAUAUUUCAACUCAUGUUUGCCAUUUCAAAAUAAUUAGGUUUGCUCUAACUGAAACAAUAUUCAUUAAAGGAAAAAGACUUUUAAAGAAAGUGGUGAACUAUUUUGUAAAUUUCAGCAAAAUAUUUUGACACUGUAGUUUAAUAGACAUAUUAUUUAUAUAUGUAACAAUUUACUAUUUUAAUAUAUUUUCCAUCAAGAUGGUAUCAACUCAGUUUUUGUUUUUAGAAAAAAACCUGUUUCAUCAUCACAUGAGGAAUUAAAAAACUUAGAAUUUUCAUGUUCAAAAGAAACAUCUUUUGAAGAAUAACAGCAAGAUACAAAUGUAAAACCCCGUAAAGGACCGUAAAACUUUUUUCAAAGUCAAAUAGAUUUUCUGGAAAUGGUUUGCAAAAAUUGGAGUAUAUGCUAGUCCAAUAUCCACCCGUCUCACCAAAAAAAGUGUGAAUCAGAGUAACAGUCAUUACAGGGCUGGAAUCUCAGCACGGCAAAAAUGAUUUAAGACAUAGUGACUUAUGUCAAGUGAAAUUCCUCCAAAGCAAAAGUCUGGAGUUUUCUGGAAAUUGUAUAUAAAAUGUUUUGUAUGAUUAGUGUCACUGCUGUUUUGUGGAAUCUGUGAAAACUGUGGCAAAAUAGAAGUGUCAUAGUGUCACAAUGUCUAUUCAAUAUUUGUUGUACUGGGUUUUCUUUCCAAUAGACUUUUAUUAAAAACAAAAACCAAAGUCCCCUCGUUAGCAACAUGGCAAUCUCAAUUGUCUAACACCGUGUGAUAAUUGACCUUCUGGACACCAGGCACACUUGGAUUCACUUUGGGACACUUAGCUGUUUAAACUGACUUCAUUAUGGAAAGACAAUGGUGACUUUGUUGUGACUGGCACCUGCAGUAUUUCACGCAGCACAUGGGCCGUACCUUGCCAAGGCAGUCACCAGCAUGAAUCACACCGGCACAGGAAGCCAACUCUAGGCAAAUUUUAUAAUAUGAGAUAUGCUGUUUUCUGGUUUCCUUGCACUAAAAAAUAUUGCCAUAUCGAGGGGUGCUUUAGUAAACUUAUGUCAAGGUUUAAUGGUUGAGGAUUUUAUAUACGUUGAAUUCAACAUGUCCAUAAUAAUACAGUCUGAAUGGAGAGCUACUGUGCUUUCUUAUCUAUGCCCAAGUUGGAAAGGGUCCUCUAGUGAAAGGCUCGUUGGGGGUGGGGUGGUGCUGGUGGUUGGGGCAGAGGGGCACUAAGUCAGUGACCUUACUUCCAGGCACUCUGUUAAGUAAUCCUGAUUCUAUUGCUAGAAUGUGAUGUAAUUUAUCUUCCAUGAAUCAUUUUCCUAAUCUCCAAAUGGUAUUCAUAUAUUUCUGUUUUGUUAAUCACUUUGCAUUAUAGGGAAUUGCUGUAGAUUCGAUUGAAAGUAAUAAUAAACUCCCUCUCUCAAAGAA